rnacentral:lncRNA from 1 species
AGAGCGAGGCCAGCUGGGGACGCAGGCAGCGGAGGUCAGCAGGGAAGAUGCAGGCCCAACCAGCUCUGAGACCCAGGCAAGGAACUGAAACUCAGAGAGGUGCAGUGAUGCACCCAAGACCACACAGCCAAGAACCCAGGCCAGCCUGAGCUAGUGGAACCAGCAGACUUUCCAAGGCUCCUCCCUGGAAGACGAUGUCCCGUCACCUGCAGACCUCCAGUAACAGGGCUCUCAGCGCCCACCUAAAGCUACUGGUUCUCCUUUUUUUUUUCCUUUUCUUUGCUCACUGCCGCCUCUGCCUCCCAGGUUCAAGUGAUUCUCCUGCCUCAGCCUCCUGAGUAGCUGGGACUACAGGUGCAUGCCGCCACGCCCAGCUAAUUUUUGUAUUUUUAGUAGAGACGGGGUUUCACCACGUUGGCCAGGAUGGUCUCCAUCUCUUGACCUUGUGAUCCGCCCGCCUCGGCCUCCCAAAGUACUGGGAUUAUAGGCGUGAGCCACCACGCUGGCCUUUUUUUUUUUUUUUUUUUUUAAAAACAGACUCUAGCUAGCUCUGUCACCCAGGCUGGAGUGCAGUGGCACGAUCUCGGCUCACUGCAACCUCUGCCUCUAGGGCUCAAGCAAUUCUCGUGUCUCAGCCUCCCAAGUAGCUGGGACCAUAGGCGCAUGCCACGACGCCCAGCUAAUUGUUUUGUAUUUUUGGUAGAGAUGGGGUUUCACCACGUUGCCCAGGCUGGUCUUGAACUCCUCAGCUCAAGCGAUCCACCCGCCCACGACUACCAAAGUGCUGGGAUUACACCCAGCCACCGUACCUGGCCCUGAUUCCCUUCUUGAACAGCUCUGAUUACUAGAAAUUUCUUCUUCUAUUACAAAGCCAAG